AAUAAUUAUUUGAAGGCGUUGUGUAGUCCACGGAUUACGGUACAUACCUUUGCGCCGCGCAAUCCGCUUGUCAUACCUUUACGGUAAAUGUGUUGGGUUCUGUUUGGACUGGAGUCAGCGUGGCGCUCUGCGAGAGACAUACUGCCUUGGAUCUGUAAACUAUUGGAAGGGAAGUUCCUUGUCUACAAGGAGUCAUAGGUCGUAACCGCCCCCCCCUAUCAGCCAUGAGCAGCAAACCCCAACCCCCUCUGAUGAAGAAACACAGCCAGACAGAUCUGGUGAGCCGGCUGAAGACCAGGAAGAUACUGGGCGUCGGAGGAGAGGACGAUGACGGAGAGAUACACAGGUCGAAGCUGAACCCUGACCCUUACUAGCUGGGGUUCCACCCUGUCGACGUGAGCUGAAAGGGAUAUUGAAUAGUGAAGAGAUAACAGUGGUAUUACUGUUUGUUGCCGUGUUAAAGGCAAGUCCAUCAAUCAGUGUAUAUUUGAAUAGCACGUUCAACUGAUACAGUUGUCACCAAGUGCUUGACGUUGGGCUCAUGAGUCCCUUUGCUUGUAGAAUGUUUAAAUGGUUUAUUAAAUCAAGAUGUAUUGUGUUUUCUAUUCAUCUUACAGAUCAGUCAGAUGCUCGGAAAUCAGAUGAGGUUUGGCGUACGAGAGCCAAUAGGCCUCAGGAUAUGGAUUCUCAUGUCUGCUGUUCUGUUCACAACCAUAGCCUUAAUAGUAAGUAGUGUACACUAGUCAACUGGACUAAACCAUAGCCUUACUGGUAAGUAGUGUACAUUAGUCAACUGGACUAAACCAUAGCCUUAAUAGUAAGUAGUGUACACUAGUCAACUGGACUAAACCAUAGCCUUACUGGUAAGUAGUGUACAUUAGUCAACUGGACUAAACCAUAGCCUUAAUGGUAAGUACUGUACAUUAGUCAACUGGACUAAACCAUAGCCUUACUGGUAAGUAGUGUACAUUAGUCAACUGGACUAAACCAUAGCCUUAAUAGUGAGUAGUGUACACUAGUCAACUGGACUAAACCAUAGCCUUAGUAGUGUACACUAGUCAACUGGACUAAACCAUAGCCUUACUGGUAAGUACUGUACAUUAGUCAACUGGACUAAACCAUAGCCUUAAUAGUAAGUACUGUACACUAGUCAACUGGACUAAACCAUAGCCUUAAUAGUAAGUAGUGUACAUUAGUCAACUGGACUAAACCAUAGCCUUACUGGUAAGUAGUGUACAUUAGUCAACUGGACUAAACCAUAGCCUUAAUGGUAAGUACUGUACAUUAGUCAACUGGACUAAAUCAUAGCCUUACUGGUAAGUAGUGUACAUUAGUCAACUGGACUAAACCAUAGCCUUAAUAGUGAGUAGUGUACAUUAGUCAACUGGACUAAACCAUAGCCUUAAUAGUAAGUAGUGUACACUAGUCAACUGGACUAAACCAUAGCCUUAGUAGUGUACAUUAGUCAACUGGACUAAACCAUAGCCUUAAUAGUAAGUAGUGUACAUUAGUCAACUGGACUAAACCAUAGCCUUAAUAGUAAGUAGUGUACACUAGUCAACUGGACUAAACCAUAGCCUUAGUAGUGUACACUAGUCAACUGGACUAAACCAUAGCCUUACUGGUAAGUACUGUACAUUAGUCAACUGGACUAAACCAUAGCCUUAAUAGUAAGUACUGUACACUAGUCAACUGGACUAAACCAUAGCCUUACUGGUAAGUAGUGUACACUAGUCAACUGGACUAAACCAUAGCCUUAGUAGAGUACACUAGUCAACUGGACUAAACCAUAGCCUUAAUAGUGUACACUAGUCAACUGGACUAAACCAUAGCCUUACUGGUAAGUAGUGUACAUUAGUCAACUGGAUUAAACCAUAGCCUUACUGGUAAGUAGUGUACACUAGUCAACUGGACUAAACCAUAGCCUUACUGGUAAGUAGUGUACACUAGUCAACUGGACUAAACCAUAGCCUUACUGGUAAGUAGUGUACAUUAGUCAACCUCUGCUGUACUGUAUAGAAAUCUCCCAGUCCAAUUCCUUUGACCUCAUGGUUCCAUCUUGGUCCUGGGGAAUGGACCGGGUGUGCAGGCUUGUUCUCCAGCCCCACACUAACAAUAACAACAUCUGAUUUGACUCAUCAAGGUCUUAUUGAUUAGUUGAAUCAGGAGUGUUGUUACCUGGUUGGGGGGGAAAAGCCUGUAACCCCGGUGAACCCAGAACCAGGACAGAAGACACUACUGCUGGAUGGAUUGUCAAGUGUCUCUGGGUCU
ensembl:lncRNA